rnacentral:rRNA from 1 species
GAUGAACGCUGGCGGCGUGCCUAAUACAUGCAAGUCGAGCGAACAGACGAGGAGCUUGCUCCUCUGACGUUAGCGGCGGACGGGUGAGUAACACGUGGAUAACCUACCUAUAAGACUGGGAUAACUUCGGGAAACCGGAGCUAAUACCGGAUAAUAUAUUGAACCGCAUGGUUCAAUAGUGAAAGACGGUUUUGCUGUCUCUUAUAGAUGGAUCCCCGCCGCAUUAGCUAGUUGGUAAGGUAACGGCUUACCAAGGCAACGAUGCGUAGCCGACCUGAGAGGGUGAUCGGCCACACUGGAACUGAGACACGGUCCAGACUCCUGCGGGAGGCAGCAGUAGGGAAUCGUCCGCAAUGGGCGAAAGCCUGACAGAGCAACGCCGCGUGAGUGAUGAAGGUCUUCGGAUCGUAAAACUCUGUUAUUAGGGAAGAACAAAUGUGUAAGUAACUAUGCACGUCUUGACGGUACCUAAUCAGAAAGCCACGGCUAACUACGUG